ACGGUCCUUUCUAUGACGUUUGUAAUUAUUUUGAACGGUUCUUAUUGAAAACGUAACUAUUAUUAUUAUUAUUAUUAUUAUUAUUAUUAUUAUUAUUAUUAUUAUUAUUAUUAUUAUUAUUAGGGGCUGGUCUUUAGUUCCAAUUACCUGCCAUAGAGAUUAGUAAUGUUAGGCCAGAUCAGCCGAAGUGUCUUUUUAUGAGUGUGCGAUAGCGCCACCUGGUGGAGUCUGAGAUGAGAACCACUUCCAAAGAUUACAAACACCACGACAAGGCAGGGGAAAGUCAACAGACACGUGGGCACGGGACACGAACUUGAGUUGUUCUUUAUGGUGGCUGUGCCAUCAUGGGUUUAAUAAUAAUUGAAAUCAAAAUCGAAAAACGCCAUACUCGUUAUUAUUACGUAAAGUGUAUUAUAACAGCAUUUGCUAUAACGCCGGGAAACGUGAGCUUGGUUUGAAUUGGACCGGCCGUCACGGCAGAUGUUUUAACACAAUGGGGUUUGAUUUUGAACCGAUCUCGCGGUGUCAUUACAAUACAUUUGAAUAACUGCCACCACGCUUCUGGCACGUGGGACUGACAACCCCCAACACAAGCGAUUAGAAAGUUCCAGAUUGAAUAUUAUAGUCAAGCCCUUUUAGUAGGGCAGAGGUCAUCCACGGGUCACCGAAUCAACUCAGUUAGCUGUGACAACGGAAGCGAACGCAAGGACGAUUCCCAUGCCAUGCGAUGCGAAUCUUUAUUGCAUUGAGAAAUAUGGUGCCGUAUGUGGUUAUUUAAGUUAUUUAAAUUAGGGUUUUAUUUUAUUAUUGUUUUGACUGCUGUUUGUAACAAAUUAAAUACUGCAGUGCUUUAGAUUAUUAAGAAAAGCCACCAUCUUUUCCUCGGUGUGGAAUUCAAACAGCAGUUAAGUUGUUGGUCCUUGGGGACAGGCGUCCACGUUCCCACGAUCAUGCGUCCAAUAUGGGUCGUGUCUGUUUGAAUAGACUGAAUGGGCUGAUUGUUAAGGAGCUGUGGCUGGGGACCAUGCACGCGUCGGGCACGAGACGGCGCUAACCACGGGGGACCCCCACGCCCCUGAACAGCUCGCUCGAGCAGAAGACGAAGAAGCGGAUACCGAUCUGUCUCGCCGCGACCUUUAAUAGACCCGCUCUGUUCUUAAUGGGAUUCUGCAUGGAAUUGAUAUACUUAACAGAAUGCGGGACUGGUUAAACACGCAUAAAGGGAACGCCGUGGUGAAAGAAAGGGCGUGCAAAAGGGAAACGUCUCCGGAUAGAUACAGUAUUAAUUAAAGCGAGACCGCGGCGUGGCUUAUCUGAUGGCUUGAGAGUGUGACAGGAGGGAAUGUCCUUUUGUGUGGAGUUAGUUGUAUCAUUUUACAGUAAAAAUAAUAAUUAAAAAAGUGAUAAAAGGCCAAAACUUACUCUAAACCGGCCUGUUUUCUACACAGAUCCCUAUUCGACUCUCGAAAAUCCCACUUUAUGAUUUAUUUGAGUUGUUUGAGAAUAUUCAUUGGAAGCACACAUACAUGUUACCAAAUUAAACAGGGCAGUGUGAAGGACGCACUAAGAUGUGUUUGAAGUCUGUUGCACAAUGCUUAGUCAGUCCUACACACGUGGUAAUAAACAGGACCGCUCCUUGCUGAGUGUGCUUAUUGACUCCCUGCACCCCGUGUUCUCCUAACCUUGAAUAUCCAAUCUCGGCGCUCUUCCGUUUGCAGUAUUGUUUGAAACUGCAAUGGUAAGUGAUAUGCAAUUAGCAAGACCCGCUUUAUAAAUAGGUGUAUUAUUUUUCUUUUUGCUUGAGGAUAUAUAUGGUUUAUUUGCAAUCGUAGGCUACAGUAGACAUGUUUUCUGAGAUAUUUUUUACUUGAUCUGCCCAAACUUUUUUCUCAGUUUGUUGUUCAUGGUUAGACAUGAAAUAAAAAAACAAAAGCCUAUGAAAUGUGUCCUUGCUUGCCACCAUGUGGUGGGACAUACUUACUACAUAUAACAGAAACUAGACCAUACCAACGAAACAUUUACACCCAGUGUUAAAUGUAUAGGUUUCUUUAGGUUUGAAAGAAAGAAAGGAAACUGACAACCCGACAGAACUAGCAAGAUACAACUAAGCUGCAUGCUUGCAUAUUAUUUGAAGCUUUGGAAUAUCGAACACUUUAUAUGGAACCACCUGUGGUAAGAACGGUUCUUCAUAGAACUCGAACAAAAUAAGGGCGUGUCUUUUUAGAACGCUCCGAGCCCGCAGAUAAACAGCAAAGGGUCGGUGAUGCUGAGUAUCCGCUGCCGGGGUCUCUGGAGAGAAUGUGUGUGGGACAAGUUUGUUAAAAUAUGGACAUGCGACAUUUUCAGUUCUUAUCUGAACCCUCACCCAGCAACCAUAGUGGUCACGAGAUCUCUGAUGAUCACCUCCAGCAUUGCGAGUGUGGCUGCAUUCUUGUGCCUGCUUCUAGGAUUCAGACACUUCCACUACUGUAAAGAUGCGAUGAGGAGGAGGCAGCUGCAGAGACUGGCUGCUGCAUUGUAUUUCCUAGUAGGAGUGUUUUCUACUGGUGCCAUUAUUAGAUACUGUGUGUAUGUUUACUAUAUUCACCAAUAUGAGGUCUCCCUAAAAAUCCCAGGCUUCCCCGGUUUUGAAUAUGGUUACUCAUUGUGGACGGCGGUCGGUGCAACAUUAGGUGCUCUCUCGUCUGCCGUUAUCUCAACCUAUGAAAGCUGCUGCAAGAAGAUAAAGAAUGAAGACGGGACAAAGGAGGGUCCGUCUCAAGCUAAACAGACCAUCAGCACAUAUGUUUAACACCCCCAGCCCCACUUUAACCAAUUGGAUGUGUUUCUUUAAGCCUGGAUAAGAACCCUUGAGAUCAUGUUUGUUGCUGUAUAAAUAGGUGUUGGGCUUGUUUUCCCAUAUAUAUUCAGUAUACUGUGGUGUUUGUCAAUCAAAUAAAAUGAUGAUGUAAUAUCUGUGUUACUCUAAAAGGGGAAUGUGAAACUGUAGCUGCAGGUAGCAACAGAGCAAAGCAAUCUGUCUGUCUGUCUCAUAAAGACUGCAUAGCGACCUCUCUCUUAUAUAGAUUGCAAAGCGAUCUGUCUGUCUGUCUCAUAAAGACUGCAAAGCGAUCUGUCUGUUUGCCUCUCUUAUAAAGACUGCAAAGCGAUCGGU